AACAUGACCCAAACACUGGCACUGACUUGACAUUUUCAGAUACAGUAAGUGCUACUUGUUGGGGUAAUUUUA
rfam:Tetraodon nigroviridis chromosome undetermined SCAF12407, whole genome shotgun sequence.